UACGGGAGGGGCAAGCGUUGUUCGGAAUUACUGGGCGUAAAGGGCUCGUAGGCGGCCAACUAAGUCAGACGUGAAAUCCCUCGGCUUAACCGGGGAACUGCGUCUGAUACUGGAUGGCUUGAGUUUGGGAGAGGGAUGCGGAAUUCCAGGUGUAGCGGUGAAAUGCGUAGAUAUCUGGAGGAACACCGGUGGCGAAGGCGGCAUCCUGGACCAACACUGACGCUGAGUGAGCGAAAGCCAGGGGGAGCAAACGGG
rnacentral:rRNA from 1 species